rnacentral:rRNA from 1 species
GUAGUCCACGCUGUAAACGAUGAGAACUAGAUGUUGGUAGGCUUGACCUAUUAGUAUCGUAGCUAACGCGAUAAGUUCUCCGCCUGGGGAGUACGGCCGCAAGGUUAAAACUCAAAGGAAUUGACGGGGGCCCGCACAAGCGGUGGAGCAUGUGGUUUAAUUCGAUGCAACGCGAAGAACCUUACCUACCCUUGACAUCCUAAGAAGUUGAUAGAGAUAUUGACGUGCCGAAAGGAGCUUAGAGACAGGUGCUGCAUGGCUGUCGUCAGCUCGUGUUGUGAGAUGUUGGGUUAAGUCCCGUAACGAGCGCAACCCUUAUCCUUAGUUGCCAACACGUAAAGGUGGGGACUCUAAGGAGACUGCCGGUGAUGAACCGGA